CAGUCGCCGCGGGAAUACGAAGGGGGCUAGCGUUGCUCGGAAUGACUGGGCGUAAAGGGCGCGUAGGCGGCGGCCAAAGUCAGGCGUGAAAUUCCCGGGCUCAACCUAGGAAUUGCAUUUGAUACUGUUUGGCUUGAGGUCGGGAGAGGUGAGUGGAACUGCGAGUGUAGAGGUGAAAUUCGUAGAUAUUCGCAAGAACACCAGUGGCGAAGGCGGCUCACUGGCCCGAUACUGACGCUGAGGCACGAAAGCGUGGGGAGCAAACAGGAUUAGAUACCCCAGUAGUCCCUGUCUCUUAUAC
rnacentral:rRNA from 1 species